AUGAGUAGAACAGGCCUGGCAGUCAUGUGGUGGGUGAGUGCCAAUACUAACAGAGUGGUGGGUGAGUGGAACAGGCCUGGCAGUCAUGUGGUGAGUGAGUGCCAAUACUAACAGAGUGGUGGAUGAGUAGAACAGGCCUGGCAGUCAUGUGGUGGGUGAGUGCCAAUACUAACAGAGUGGUGGGUGAGUGGAACAGGCCUGGCAGUCAUGUGGUGGGUGAGUGCCAAUACUAACAGAGUGGUGGGUGAGUGGAACAGGCCUGGCAGUCAUGUGGUGAGUGAGUGCCAAUACUAACAGAGUGGUGGAUGAGUAGAACAGGCCUGGCAGUCAUGUGGUGGGUGAGUGCCAAUACUAACAGAGUGGUGGGUGAGUGGAACAGGCCUGGCAGUCAUGUGGUGGGUGAGUGCCAAUACUAACAGAGUGGUGGGUGAGUGGAACAGGCCUGGCAGUCAUGUGGUGAGUGAGUGCCAAUACUAACAGAGUGGUGGAUGAGUGGAACAGGCCUGGCAGUCAUGUGGUGAGUGAGUGCCAAUACUAACAGAGUGGUGGAUGAGUGGAACAGGCCUGGCAGUCAUGUGGUGAGUGAGUGCCAAUACUAACAGAGUGGUGGAUGAGUGGAACAGGCCUGGCAGUCAUGUGGUUGGUGCCAAUACUAACAGAGUGGUGGGUGAGUGGAACAGGCCUGGCAGUCAUGUGGUGAGUGAGUGCCAAUACUAACAGAGUGGUGGAUGAGUGGAACAGGCCUGGCAGUCAUGUGGUGAGUGAGUGCCAAUACUAACAGAGUGGUGGGUGAGUGGAACAGGCCUGGCAGUCAUGUGGAGAGUGCCAAUACAACAGUCACAUUGAAAAAUAGAUUGGAUAAGUUCAUGGAUAGUGAGGUUAGGUGGGGUUAGGUUCACAGGAGAUGCCUUGUAUAGACCUACCAGCCUCUUCCAGACUCCUUAGAAUCCUACACUCUUUUAUGGGAUGAGUGACCAAAAGAGAGGUCAAUUUUGGAUGGAGAGGCAUUUUCAUACACUGGUCUUGAAAGAGUUUAAGUCAUAGGCAGGGGGAAACACAGAUGAAGGAAGGUUGUUUAUGAGUUUACCAGGGAAUGGGAUGAAAGAGUGAAGAUGCUGGUUAACUCUUGCAUAAGGGAUUUGGACAGUAUAGGGAUGAAAGAGUGAAGAUGCUGGUUAACUCUUGCAUAAGGGAUUUGGACAGUAUAGGGAUGAAAGAGUGAAGAUGCUGGUUAACUCUUGCAUAAGGGAUUUGGACAGCACAGGGAUGAAAGAAUGAAGAUGCUGGUUAACUCUUGCAUAAGGGAUUUGGACAGUACAGGGAUGAAAGAGUGGAGAUGCUGGUUAA